UGGGUUUGAGAGUUUAAUCUGUGCUCUGGCGCCCACAGUGCUGCAGCCCCUCAUGGGCCAGAGACAGGAUGCACGGGGACUCCCAGCCCCUACCCGGCAAGAGAGGCAUCACUGAGGCUGCAUCUGCCAUGCGCUCCUGGUGUGACUGCACCCUGUCAGGCCUGUGAAAGGUCAGCAGAGCCAAGGAGCAGGCAGGAGAGGCUGGAGCCCCGCCCAGAACCUUGGCGAGCUGGUGGCCCUGCCAAGUCCUGCUGGCCACUGAAGAGGGAAUCCAGGGCAAGGCAGGUGACCUCCUGGGCCACCAGUCUCUAACCCCUACCCCAGCCUAGGGAAGGGGAGGACAGGAAGAGACUGGAUGCUUUGUAAAGGACUUCCUGUUCUUGGGGACAUAACUCUCGUCCCCUCCCAGAGCCCUGGAUGACUGACAGGCAUUCCUUGGCCAACACAUGCUUGAGCCGCGCUGCUGGCUGCAGGGCACCUGGAUGACAGGCAUUCCUUGGCCAACACAUGCUUCAGCCGCGCUGCCGGCUGCAGGGCACAGAGGCUCCUUCAGUGGAAUUUUGCCUACGACACAGAGCAC
ensembl:lncRNA novel transcript